ensembl:snRNA U6 U6 spliceosomal RNA
GUGCUCGCUUCAGCAGCACAUAUACUAAAAUUGGAACAACGCAGAGAAGAUUAGCAUGGCCCCUGCGCAAGGAUGAUAUGCAAAUUCAUGGAGUAUUCCCUGUUUUU